GUUUAAGCAACUAUGUUAGUAUGACUAAUUAUGAGAGGGAUUUCUUAUCUGGCAGAAAGGAUUGUGUCAUGUCUUACUACUUCAAAAAGAGUCCGUAACACUGCGAGACAUGACAAUAGACACCAUGCAGUUUGGUCAGUUAAUGGGGCAUCAUCAUCACCAGUUUAGCCCUUCUCAGGCAAUGUGGUGCCCACUUAAACAGCAUCUUAGUUAGGAAUAUACACUCAGCACUAAUAAUAACUCCAUCAACAAGUAAAUUAUGAUUGACAAUAAUGAAGAAAUGUCUGUAAACUCUAUGAAAGGGACAGACAUUUCUGAUAACCAGCUCAGAUCAUAAAAUCCUGCUACCACGAAGCAGAGUUGUUGA